GGGAGAGCUGGACAACACUACUUCUAAGGACUCUCUACCUGUCCCCUAGAUGCGCCUCGGCCUGCAGUCAUCUCCAAGGGACGGGAGCCACGCAAAACCUUCCUACCUAAUCACUGCCCCCUAUUGUAACUCUCCCUAGGGCUUGUGGGAUAAAAGUGCAUGGGACUAGGGAGAGGAGUGGCUCUGCAGUACCCAUGACAACAUACCACUCUGUGGUUUUUGGCUGUGUUGUUUUAUUUUUUGGACCAGUGUGAUACUUGGCCCCCACUCUCAAGAUCGCCGAGGACCAUUUCUUUCUACUGAGAUGUUCCAGUUAUUAAGUUCAAAAGGGAAGAGACGGAGGGCUGGAUACAUCGUUACAGCAUUUGAAAUCCCGAAGCCCUUCCUCGUAGCCUCCACCCUCGUUCUACAGGUGAGACAACAGAAACCUCGAGAUGUUACAACCAGCACCCAUAGCCAGUUAGUAGUUGGGCAGUCUCUGCUCACCUAACUCUCCAGGCCUGCUUGCUGACUGCUUCCAACUAUGGAAGUG
rnacentral:lncRNA from 1 species